rnacentral:rRNA from 1 species
CAAUAGCGUAUAUUAAUGUUGUUGCAGUUAAAAAGCUCGUAGUUGGAUUUCUGGUGGGAGCGGCCGGUCCGCCGUAAGGUGUGUACUUGGUUGUCUCCUGUCAUCCUUGUGGGAACUGCUCUGGCAUUAAGUUGUCGGGGUUAGGGAACACAUCGUUUACUGUGAAAAAAUUAGAGUGUUUAAAGCAGGCUUAUGCCGUUGAAUACAUUAGCAUGGAAUAAUAAGAUAGGACUUUGGCGUCUAUUUUGUUGGUUUGCACACCAAGGUAAUGAUUAAUAGGGAUAGUUGGGGGUAUUCGUAUUUAAUUGUCAGAGGUGAAAUUCUUGGAUUUAUGAAAGACGAACUUCUGCGAAAGCAUUUACCAAAGAUGUCUUCAUUAA